UUUUGUUGAUUUUGAUUGAUUCCAUUGUCCUCGUUUGUAAGGACGCUUUAAAUAAUAGCGUCUGCUGCUAAAUGACUAAAUGUGAAUGUGGUGUGAAAUGUCACAGGGCCAGUUUUCAUCCUAUAACAGCAGUUUCGGUAACUGGACUAUGACACUUUCUUAAGCCGGUUAUAUGCUUUUAUCCUCGUUUAUUCUUGGCUGUAGGAAACCAGCAUAUGGCCUGUAUUUCCAGAUUGCAAAUGUCUUAUAUCCAGAGUCACCAGCAGGUGUCGGCUUCUCCUACUCUGAUGACAAGAAGUACACUACCAAUGACACAGAGCUUGAGGAAUGACCUGCAGAUAUUUUGCUGCAAAGAUGGAGUGUGUAACUUCUACAAUAACCAGGAUGUGAACUGCUUGUGUUGUCUCACUACAGUUCAAGUUAUAGUCUACCAGUCUGGACUGAACAUGUUUAACCUAUAAGGAGUUCAGCAGAGAGUCAGGUGAGCUUGGAUCAGUUAUCUGGAGUAACUGUUCAAUGUCAGUUCAUAUGAAGACGUUCCAGUGUCAUUCUGCUCUUCUGAAACCAACAUUGAAAACAGCCAGUUUGUGAUUCGAGACCUGGGCCAUCACUUCGUGAACCAUCCUUACUCCAAAGCACAGAACGAGCACUGAAGACAGUCUGAACUACACCUGCCUGUUAAUGGAUGUGAAGAAACAAUACCUGAAGCUUCUGGGAGCAUAAGUGAGUGAUGGGAAUUAACACUGUU